AGUGAACGCUGGCGGUAGGCCUAACACAUGCAAGUCGAACGGCAGCACAGUAAGAGCUUGCUCUUACGGGUGGCGAGUGGCGGACGGGUGAGGAAUACAUCGGAAUCUACUUUUUCGUGGGGGAUAACGUAGGGAAACUUACGCUAAUACCGCAUACGACCUACGGGUGAAAGCAGGGGAUCUUCGGACCUUGCGCGAUUGAAUGAGCCGAUGUCGGAUUAGCUAGUUGGCGGGGUAAAGGCCCACCAAGGCGACGAUCCGUAGCUGGUCUGAGAGGAUGAUCAGCCACACUGGAGCUGAGACACGGUCCAGACUCCGACGGGAGGCAGCAGUGGGGAAUAUGGGACAAUGGGCGCAAGCCUGAUCCAGCCAUACCGCGUGGGUGAAGAAGGCCUUCGGGUUGUAAAGCCCUUUUGUUGGGAAAGAAAAGCAGCAGGUUAAUACCCCGCUGUUCUGACGGUACCCAAAGAAUAAGCACCGGCUAACUUCGU
rnacentral:rRNA from 1 species